CUGUCAUUUACUGGAGUGGUUACUUAUCUGUCAAUAUUUCUUCCUUUUUUUUCAAGUCCCAGGCCUACUUGAUCUUGUCCAUUUGGCACUGCUGGAGGAAUAACAAGUUUCUUCCCGUCAUGCACCUUUCUAGGAUACAUCAUGACAGAGAAAUCUCAAAGCCCAGGUCAAUUAUAACAGAAGAUGUGUAGCACCUCUGCCCCCACAGCGUCUUCUGGGGAUCCACUUGGCAAAAUGAUAUAAAACUAUUUUCGAAGACUUCCCAUGAUCUGGCACUACUUAGAACUAAGUGACUGGCAAAAUGUAAGGAAAUAUGCAUAUGCACCUCAGCUCAUCUCCCUCUGUUUGCCAAGGAGCCAACUGACAUUACGUGUGAGGAGGGGCCUGAGGCUGGCAGAGUCCUCGCUGAAGGAAAAUGGAGUGGCUUUGGUAGAAAGGAUCAGACGUGCUUUCAGCACAGCCCUGCUCUGGACAGCUCGUGGUUUGCAGAAGGGCAGAGGUCUGCCUGCAAGUUACCACAGCAGGAAAGGGGACAGCUCACAGGGCAGCAGUCAGCAAGAUCUGGUACAAAGCACCACCCAACAAUUUCCAGUCAUUUGCCUGAUCAUAACCACACUGUAA
rnacentral:lncRNA from 1 species